GACAGAGGGUGCAAACGUUGCUCGGAAUUACUGGGCGUAAAGCGCGUGUAGGCGGGGAGAUAAGUCGGGUGUGAAAUCCCUGGGCUCAACCUAGGAACUGCAUCCGAAACUGCCUUUCUGGAGUGAUGGAGAGGAAAGCGGAAUUCCCGGUGUAGAGGUGAAAUUCGUAGAUAUCGGGAGGAACACCAGUGGCGAAGGCGACACGCUGGGCCGUACCUGACACUGAUGCGCGACAGCAUGGGGAGCAAACAGG
rnacentral:rRNA from 1 species